rnacentral:rRNA from 1 species
AAACUAACUAGGAUGCCUUCAGUAACGGCGAGCGAAGCAGGCAUAGCUCAAAUUUGUAAUCUGGCGCCUUUGGCGUCCGAGUUGUAUUUUCUAGAAGCGAGUUCGGCGACAGCUCCUACCCAAGUCCGUUGGAACGCGGCGUCAUGGAGGGUGAGAAUCCCGUGAAUGGUAGGAUGUCUGCUGCUAUGUGAACCGCCUUCGAAGAGUCGAGUUGUUUGGGAAUGCAGCUCUAAAUGGGAGGUAAAUUUCUUCUAAAGCUAAAUAUUGGCCAGAGACCGAUAGCGAACAAGUAGAGUGAUCGAAAGAUGAAAAGAACUUUGAAAAGAGAGUUAAACAGUACGUGAAAUUGUUGAAAGGGAAGCGCUUGAGAUCAGACUUCCUGUCUGGACUGUCCUUGCUUUUGCUUGGGUCAACAGUCCAGGCGUGGAGGCCAGCAUCAGUUUUGACGGCCGGAUAAAGACCUUGGGAAGGUAGCUCCUCUCGGGGAGUGUUAUAGCCCAGGGUGUAAUACGGCCAGUUGGGACUGAGGACCGCGGCUUUGCCUAGGAUGCUGGCGUAAUGGUCUUAAGCGAC